GUGAGGCAUGUGUCUUUCUUGCUGAUAACUUGACUGGACUUGAAUUUUGAGGGCCUUAUGCAAUUUCGCAGUUCUUUCUAAUGAUUACAUAAAUACUUCCCACCUUUGAAGAUCUGGAUAGAUUCAAUCAUCUUGAGAUCUGAUUUGGCACAACUUGUGCACCUUUUUUUUGUUUUGUUUUGUUUUCGGCAUGACUGCAAAGUGCAAACUAGAUAGCGAUUGUUGCUAAGACGUAUGUGACAUGACCAUAUUCAGGUCCUUUUCUCUCCUCUAUGCAGCUUGUCGUCUCCAUGAAUUUCUUGCUCAUGUCUUCUUGACAAUAAGCAUGCAAGAGGCGUGGAUGCUUCGCGGGUGCGUGCUGUCUCCAAUGGAACCUCAGCAACCUGAAGGGGCGAGAUGUCAUGUCGUAGCCAAAUGUUGGACCUAAGAGGAUCACGGCCCCCGGGGUCGGGGAACAUGGUGAUACACCACCACCAGCUCCAACUCUGCUAAUCUGAUGAAUUCAAGGGUCGAGCAAGCAAGACUCCUGAACAAGAUUGUUCAGAACACAGGUAUGCAACGUGGUCAUUGAGAGCCUGAUCAUGGGGUUAGCUAUUCAAACUUUUUGGGGUUAGUAUAUUUUUUUACUGUAGCUUUAGAUCUAUACUUUUCUUCAUAGCUGUAAAAAGAUGUACUAAAACAUACUAUAUUAUAUAUUUACUGUGUAGAUCUACUCAUUUGGAUUCUAAUACAAUUGGAUUUUCCAUUUUA